AUUGAACGCUGGCGGCAGGCUUAACACAUGCAAGUCGAACGAGUGGCGGACGGGUGAGUAAUGCUUGGGAAUCUAGCUUAUGGAGGGGGAUAAUUACGGGAAACUGUAGCUAAUACCGCGUACCAUAGGAUGAGCCCAAGUGGGAUUAGGUAGUUGGUGAGGUAAAGGCUCACCAAGCCGACGAUCUCUAGCUGGUCAGAGAGGAUGACCGGCCACACUGGGACUGAGACACGGCCCAGACUCCUACGUGAGGAAGCAGUGGGGAAGAUUACGAAAUGGGGGCAACCUGACGCAGCCAUGCCGCGUGAAUGAAGAAGGCCUUCGGGUUGUAAAGUUCUUUCGGUAGCGAGGCGUUAACUACAGAAGAAGCACCGUCUAACUACGUGCCAGCAGCAGCGGUAAUUC
rnacentral:rRNA from 1 species